UGGGGAAUCUUGGACAAUGGGGGCAACCCUGAUCCAGCCAUGCCGCGUGAGUGAUGAAGGCCUUAGGGUCGUAAAGCUCUUUCGCCUGUGAAGAUAAUGACGGUAGCAGGUAAAGAAACCCCGGCUAACUCCGUGCCAGCAGCCGCGGUAAUACGGAGGGGGCAAGCGUUAUUCGGAUUUACUGGGCGUAAAGGGCGUGUAGGCGGCUUGAUAGGUCAAAGGUGAAAGCCCUCGGCUCAACCGAGGAACUGCCUUUGAAACCAUCUAGCUCGAGGCCGGGAGGGGGUAGCGGAAUUCCUGGUGUAGCGGUGAAAUGCGUAGAUAUCAGGAGGAACACCAGUGGCGAAGGCGGCUACCUGGACCGGUUCUGACGCUGAGGCGCGAAAGCGUGGGGAAGCAAACGAGGAUUAGAUACCCUGGUAGUCCACGCUGUAAAACGAUGGGUGCUCGGUGUUGCGGGUGUUGACCCCUGCAAUGCCUUAGCUAACGCGUUAAGCA
rnacentral:rRNA from 1 species